UACAGAGGGUGCAAGCGUUAAUCGGAAUUACUGGGCGUAAAGCGCGCGUAGGUGGUUUGUUAAGUUGAAUGUGAAAUCCCCGGGCUCAACCUGGGAACUGCAUCCAAAACUGGCAAGCUAGAGUAUGGUAGAGGGUGGUGGAAUUUCCUGUGUAGCGGUGAAAUGCGUAGAUAUAGGAAGGAACACCAGUGGCGAAGGCGACCACCUGGACUGAUACUGACACUGAGGUGACGAAAGCGUGGGGAGCAAACAGG
rnacentral:rRNA from 1 species